CGCUCCAGACCUAGCUCACUCUCGAACAUUCUCCCCUAAAUCUCAGCCCCCAACCUAGCUCUCUUUCCAGCGGCCAGCGGCCGGCUGCGCCCCGAAUCCCUCGCCGUCGGCUGCGCCCCCAAAUCCCUCGCCUAUUCCAUCCUCUCGUUCGCCCCCUCCGCCUGAUUCGCUGGUCAGUAGACUGACCACCCGCUGCUUGAAGUGUCGCUGGUAAUCUCCCAGCGCUUCCGGAGGAGGGCCACCGUCAACGACCCCGUGGCCGUCGUCCACUGGACCACCGCAUCCUUCCGUGAGUGGCGCCCUUUCCAAUCCAGGUUACAGGACUUCUGAAGUUAUUUCACUUGUUGAUGAGAAAGAAAACAGAGUUAAACGACGGCUGAUUAUCAAGUAGGAUUAGAUCUUGGAUUUGCUAGUGGACUUUGGGAGUUUCUUGGCCAGCUUGGUGACUCCACAUUUUUCACUAUUUCAGCAAGCCUUUGAAUAUGAUGAUGUGUUACAAAUCAUCCAUGAACUUAUACCUCCAGGUGCUAACUUGUCCGAGGACUUCUACCAAUCUAAGAAACUCUUAAAGGUGACGGGACAACUAUACUAUGCAACUUGGAAUCAUUCUUAAAUGAGAACACCCCGGCAUAAUUGAGAAGAAGGAAGGUGAUGUUGUCAUUAAAACCCGCCCAGCUUUGGAGUGAUCUGAUUAUUAUGAUGAUGAUACUCUAGAUGAUAAGGGGCAGAUAGCAGCAGAUCGUGUGAAGCAAGUGUUUUGGGCAAGUUCCAAGUACUUGGGAGUUAUUUUGAAAAUCUGUAUUGCACAUGCAUAUUUGACAUGAAAAUGUGUGAACUUAUAGAACUUGUUUGAGGUUCAUGUGAAGGAUGAUGAAGACUCGGACAAGGUGGAGGAUGACGUUGAUCGUGUGUUUGAAAACUAUGCAAUGAAAAAAGUGAGAGACAUGAUGUAUCAAGUUCGUGUGGAUGCUAUAAAGUUCUACUAUGAGAAGAAAGGAGAGCGGCUUGAUGGCACGUUGGCAUGUUCAAAAGAGCUUGAAUAUGGCCAAUACUUGGAAGGUGGAAUACCAUGGGUUAAGGAACAUGCAUGGCCUCAUCUUUGUGCUUAUUGGUGCUAAAAAAACGCCACGAUGAUUACCGUGAUUUGGCUAGAGCCACACAUCCUGAUAAUUGGGAGGAGCGAGAGUUACAUGGGCAAAUGUUAUAUGAAUCAUCAGGUGGCAUUCCCCAUGGGCGACUAGCAAUAGAGGAUGGGGCAAUUAAGAAGGCUGAUGUUAUCUCAACAUCUAGAGAGAAGAAACUGAGGCUGUCAACUUCAGCAUCACUUCGACGAACUAUUCAAGAAAACGAAGAACUGAAGUGACGAGCUAUUCAAGAAAACGAAGAACUGAAGCGACAUAAUGAGUACCUGCAAAAUAAAGUGGAUAUGCAUGAACGACUCUUCUUGGUCCUUUUUAAGGAGAUGGGUAAAGAACUACCAGAGGAGCUACGCCAAGGAGCAAGGUCCCAGCCACAUUGGCAUCUCAUAUUGGAACCCAAGCACUUGAUGACAACACCGGUGAUGGUGAUUCGGGUGAAGCUGUUGGCGGUGACGACUCCAACAAUCGGGAAAGCAAGACUUAGAAUGCUAGUGAUGGUAACCUGGGAAGUGCCUUUGUUGACAUAGUAUGGUAACAGGACUUUAGAAGUGAUGGUAGUGUUGGUAACACAAUAGCAUUUUGGUAGUUGCAACAAACACUAAAGCCAGGUUAUCUGUUCUGAACUAUGAUCUAUUGUUGUGAAGUAUGAUGUAUUUUGUCUGUAAUGCACUGAAGCUUAUCCUUGCAACUUGCAAGUUGAACAAUUUAUCUUUUGUUGUCAAGAAUUGUUAUGUACUUAGAUGUGUGAAACUAAACUUUAUCCUUCUAAUUUAUGGUUA